AUACGUAGGGUGCAAGCGUUAAUCGGAAUUACUGGGCGUAAAGCGUGCGCAGGCGGUUUUGUAAGACAGUGGUGAAAUCCCCGGGCUCAACCUGGGAACUGCCAUUGUGACUGCAAGGCUGGAGUGCGGCAGAGGGGGAUGGAAUUCCGCGUGUAGCAGUGAAAUGCGUAGAUAUGCGGAGGAACACCGAUGGCGAAGGCAAUCCCCUGGGCCUGUACUGACGCUCAUGCACGAAAGCGUGGGGAGCAAACAGGAUUAGAUACCCUGGUAGUCCACGCCCUAAACGAUGUCAACUGGUUGUUGGGUCUUAACUGACUCAGUAACGAAGCUAACGCGUGAAGUUGACCGCCUGGGGAGUACGGCCGCAAGGUUGAAACUCAAAUGAAUUGACGGGG
rnacentral:rRNA from 1 species